rnacentral:rRNA from 1 species
UACGGGGGGGGCAAGCGUUGUUCGGAAUUACUGGGCGUAAAGGGUUCGUAGGUGGCCAACUAAGUCAGACGUGAAAUCCCUCAGCUCAACUGGGGAACUGCGUCUGAUACUGGUCGGCUUGAGUUCGGGAGAGGUGAGUGGAACUGCGAGUGUAGAGGUGAAAUUCGUAGAUAUUCGCAAGAACACCAGUGGCGAAGGCGGCUCACUGGCCCGAUACUGACGCUGAGGCACGAAAGCGUGGGGAGCAAACAGG